rnacentral:rRNA from 1 species
AGGGUGUAAACGCUGCGGGCUUGGUGUUGGGGGUCCUUAGUGGGCGCCCAGUGCCGGAGAGAAGUUGUUAAGCCUGCUGCUUGGGGAGUAUGUCCGCAAGGAUGAAACUUAAAGGAAUUGGCGGGGGAGCACCGCAACGGGAGGAGCGUGCGGUUCAAUUGGAUUCAACGCCAGACAACUCACCAGGAGCGACGGUUACAUGAAGGCCAGGCUGAUGACCUUGCCUGACAAGCUGAGAGGUGGUGCAUGGCGUAGUCGUGU